rnacentral:rRNA from 1 species
UACGUAGGUGGCAAGCGUUGUCCGGAUUUACUGGGCGUAAAGCGUAUGCAGGCGGACCGUUAAGUAGGAAGUGAAAGGUUGGGGCUCAACUCUAACACUGCUCCCUAUACUGGCGGUCUUGAGUGGCGGAGAGGAAGACGGAACGACACGUGUAGCGGUGAAAUGCGUUGAUAUGUGUCGGAACACCAAUGGCGAAAGCAGUCUUCUGGACGCAAACUGACGCUGAGAUACGAAAGCCAAGGUAGCAAACAGG